CAAUCUGCCCUUCACUCUGGGACAAGCCCUGGAAACGGGGUCUAAUACCGGAUAUGACACAGGACCGCAUGGUCUCUGUGUGGAAAGCUCCGGCGGUGAAGGAUGAGCCCGCGGCCUAUCAGCUUGUUGGUGGGGUGAUGGCCUACCAAGGCGACGACGGGUAGCCGGCCUGAGAGGGCGACCGGCCACACUGGGACUGAGACACGGCCCAGACUCCUACGGGAGGCAGCAGUGGGGAAUAUUGCACAAUGGGCGAAAGCCUGAUGCAGCGAGGCCGCGUGAGGGAUGACGGCCUUCGGGUUGUAAACCUCUUUCAGCAGGGAAGAAGCGAAAGUGACGGUACCUGCAGAAGAAGCGCCGGCUAACUACGUGCCAGCAGCCGCGGUAAUACGUAGGGCGCAAGCGUUGUCCGGAAUUAUUGGGCGUAAAGAGCUCGUAGGCGGCUUGUCACGUCGGUUGUGAAAGCCCGGGGCUUAACCCCGGGUCUGCAGUCGAUACGGGCAGGCUAGAGUUCGGUAGGGGAGAUCGGAAUUCCUGGUGUAGCGGUGAAAUGCGCAGAUAUCAUGAGGAACACCGGUGGCGAAGCGGAUCUCUGGCCGA
rnacentral:rRNA from 1 species